ACCGCUCUGCCGUGUUCGAGGGCUCUGGCUUCAUUUGCCUUGUCCCAUAAUUCGACCUCGGGAUCGUAGUGCCGGUUGGUGUGCAUGUCCGUCACGUGCGGAAAGCCUGAAGACCGGCGAGCCUUCCCACCUGAUCCUAGGGAUCAAGGUCGCGGCCAGCGCUACGGCACGGCGGACGGUG
rnacentral:other from 1 species